AGGAUUGAGACAUUUGGACCGACCGUGAGUGAUCAACCUCUUGAGCAAGCUAUGGAGCUUGAGUAGCUCAUUGGAAUUGGUGUUGGUUUUGGAGUAGAGUAUUGUUGACAUUGGUGAAGAACAAAGGUCGACUGAAGCAUUGAGGUAAGGAUGCUGCAGGAGCCUCUGGUGGCAAGUGGCCAUAUCUGGAUUAUGCAUGAAAUAUGGCAUUUCUUUGAGUUUAUGCAUGCCUUUUGUAGUUGACAUGUAUAGGAUUUUAUUUUGAAAGCCCAUGGUCAUUUGUAUAUCUUG